rnacentral:lncRNA from 1 species
ACUCAAAUCUUCCCCUUCUUCCCGCCUCACCCACGUAACCCUCCAAACCGGGACAAAACACUACAUGGGUCCAAUCUUUGACCCGGCCCGGUCAACUCAACUCCUGAGCCAUGAUCCCCCGUUUCACGAGGACAUGCCCCGACUACCGUACCCAAACUUCUACUACGCUCAGGAGGAUCUCCUUGCGUCCCACGCGCCUUCUCUGACGUACUCCGUUCACCGAUCCUCCAUCAUAAUUGGCGCGUCUUCAAGGAGUGCAAUCAACACGCUGGUUAUGCUUGGGGCUUAUGCCGCGGUUUGCCGCCACCUUACGUUGCCGUUUCGUUACCAAGGAACACGGUACACGUGGGAGCAUUUUUGCGACAUGACAGACUCCGAGGUUUUAGCGGAGCAGCACGUGUGGGCUGCGGUUACGGAUAAGGCCAAUAAUGAAGCGUUCAAUUGCACCAACGGCGACUUGUUUACGUGGAAGAGAAUGUGGAAAGUGCUGAGUGAGGUUUUUGAUGUUGAGUUUGUUGGGUUUGACGAGAAUGAUGAAGAUAGGGUUGAUGUGGUGGAGUUUAUGAGAGACAAAGACGAGAUUUGGGAUGAGAUUGUGGAAAAGUAUGGACUUGUGAAGACUAAGCUAAAGGAGUUUGCAUAUUAUGAAGCCUUGAAAGUCGUCUUACAUUUUGACUUUCAACAUGUGUCUAGCAUGAAUAAGAGUAAGGAAUAUGGUUUCUUUGGCCACGCCAACACCUUCAAAAGGGUCACAUUCUGGGUUCGCAAACUGCGUUUCAUGAAGAUUAUACCCUAGCCACAGUAAUAUAGAUAGAAAACUGCGUUACAGGUGGCACUUAGCAGGUAGCCUUAUUAGCCUAUUGUUAUGUUGAAAAUAAAACGCAACAAGCUAGGGGAUUCCGUUUAUUCCAGUAAUUAACUACAACUAUCUGAUGAACUUUGAUCAACUACUAUUGAAAGCAGAUCCAUUUGAUGUUAGAAACUUCUUAUUUUAUUUAUUUUUUGAGAAUUAUCCUCUCAUUAUAGAAUGGUGUCUAGCCCGGCCUUUUUGAAAGUUCAUAUAUUAUCAGUUGAAUGUUAUGGUAUCUAAAAAGUGGUGUCUAUUUACUAAAAAUAGUAAAAAAUUAAUAUUUAAUUUAAAAAAUAUAAAAGUAGCUAAAUAUAUAUUUUAUUUACCUAUCUCUUAAGCAAAAAUUAAGUGAAACGAAAUUCAUUAAUCUUCUAAGAUUAAAAAUAUUUUUCUUUCAAAAUGAUAUAAUAAAUAAUGCUGACGUGUGAUUGUGUGAAUAUUGGGUUAAAAAAUUAAAAAAUUAUUAUAAUUUAUUAUUUUUUAUUAACAUUUAGUUAUUAAUUUAAUUUUUUUAAUUUAUUUUUUUUGUUUAAUAAUUUAACAACAUAUUUUAUUUUAUAUUUUUAAAUCUUAAAUAUUAGAAUUAUUCUCCGCGUUCAAAUAAUUUUAAUAUACAAGUUCAUCCAACCAAUUUUAGAUCAUGCGCUUUUUUUUUUGUUUUCUUCUCCUUUUACGCUGCUACUUCUUCUUCUUCUUGUUUUAAAUUCACGCAUGUCGUUAUCGUCAUCGUCCUUAUUGUAAUUGUUAUUGCUGAAUUUUUGCCAUAUUGAUGAUGUUGUCUGAUCCAAAAUUGAUUUUAGAUAUGUUUCUGUUCACGAUUCAGCCUUGUUUGUGUGCUUAUUUUCGAAUUGAGUUUUUGUGUCGCAAUCAUUAUGACAUUAUGUAAUUUCGGUUUAUUUCUGAGUUAAUUGUGUCGCAAUUUUUAUGUAAUUUCAGUUCAUUUCUGAGUUAAUUAUAUUGCAGUAGUCCAUUAAGUAAUUUCGGUUCAUUUCUGAGUUAAUUGUGUCGCAGUCAUUAUAUAAUUUCGGUUCAUUUUUGAGUGAAUUAAGGUACAUUUAGACUCAUUGUCCUGCACAAUUUAAAACUCUUUCUCCUCAUCUUCUACUGCUUCUUCUUGAUCUUUUUCUUCUUCAUUUUCACCCUCUUAUUUUAUUUUCUCAAAAUUCUUUUUGAUUUACUCUCUUGAGAGGGAUAAAAUCAAGAAAAAGAGAAGAAAAUAUCAAACAAAAAAGAAGAAGAAACAUAUUAAUGACAUUGUUUGAUCCAAAAUUGAUUUUGAAUGUAUUUUUAUUCAUGAUUUAGUCUUGUUUGUGUGCUUAUUUUCGAACUAAGUUUGUGUCUCAAUCAUUAUGGUAAAUUUUGGUUUAUUUUUUAGUUAAUUGUGUCGUAAUUGUUAUGUAAUUUCGGUUCAUUUCUGAGUUAAUUGUGUCGCAAUCCAUUAUAUAAUUUCGGUUCAUUUCUAAGUUAAUUGUGUCGCAAUUGUUAUAUAAUUUCGGUUCAUUUCUAAGUGAAUUAAGGUGCAUUUGGACUCGUUAUCCUGCACAAUUCUUAAGAGGAAUAAAACAAAAAAGAAGAAGAAAAUAUCAAACAAAAAAGAAGAAGAAACAUAUUAAUGACGUUGUUUGAUCCAAAAUUGGUUUUGGAUGUAUUUUUGUUCAUGAUUUAGUCUUGUUUGUACACUUGUUUUCAAACUGAGUUUAUGUAUCGCAAUCAUUAUGGUAAAUUUCGGUUCAUUUCUGAGUUAAUUGUAUCGCAAUUGCUAUGUAAUUUCGAUUCAUUUCUGAGUUAAUUAUGUCGCAAUUAUUAUAUAACUUCGGUUCAUUUCUGAGUGAAUAAUUAAGGUGCAUUUAGACUCGUUUUCCUGCACAAUUCAAAACUAUUUCUCCUCUUCCUCCUUCACUUUCUAUUAUAAUAACAGCAAUAACAACAUUAACAAAAGAAUGACGAUGAGAAAAAAAUAUGCGAAUAAGAAGAAGAACGAGAAAGAAAAAGAGCAGGAGGAGAAUGAGAAGGAGAAUGAAAAGGAACAGAAGGAGGAGAAGAAACGCGAAAAAGAAGAGAGACAACUAACGUAAAUGGUGUGCGCGUGUAAUCACGCUCUUUGUAAUGAGAGUAGUUUUUGUUAGUGUUGGGCCUAUUUGGUUGAAUUUGGAUGACAAUAUUAUUUAGAUGUGUAGCAAAUAUAUAAAUAUUAGAGGAAUGCUAGGGGGCCAGUAAUUUUGGUAUUUUGUAACCAUCAAUUGGCCAUCAAUAGUGUUUUUAAUAGUGUGAGAUUAUAUUUAAUGGUGAGAAAUUACUCACUUUUGUUUUGAUGGUUAAGUGCUUGCCAGAAAAUACAAAAGUUGUUGGCCCCUAGACUUUUCCUAAAUAUUAAUGGUUAAAUAAUGACCAAAAAUAAUAAAUUCUAAUAAUUUUCUAUUAUUUUUAUAAAAAAAAUAUUNNNNNNAUAUCACCCUAAAUUAAGUCCGGUUAAUAAUUAAAUUUAGAUUCCUAUGAAAAUAAUUAAAUAAGUAAUCCUCUACUUUUACUUUUGUACAACAGACAAAGCCUAUAGUUGAUAAGUUUAUAUAUCAUGGUGGUUUAGGUUAAGAGGUUUUUUUAAGUGUCUCACAUAUACUAAUAAUGCGAUUAGAAAAGAAAGACAGAAGGUUACUUGAACAAGUAUUUUUAUACUAAAUUUCAUUUUUUUAAUCUUUAAUCUGAAGACUUAAUUAAACAUCGUUAUAAAUCUGAAACCACUGUAAAUUUAUAUCCACGACCCCGGCUACCCGGGUCCGACCCACACCUCGCUCAAAAGGCCCAAAAACCGGCCUUCCAAAGAGCUCCUAACCAACUUUCGAAUUCACUCGUCCAUAUUAUCUUAACCAGAUAAGAUAAGAUAAGAUACUCAUCACCACCUAUAAAUAGGGGACCCAAGCCCCUCUAGGUAAUCAUCAAUUCCACACACCUUAUACCUCUCAGAUCCAUUCUGACUUGAGCGUCGGAGUGUCUUUGCAGGUACCUCCCCCAUUGCUCCAGUCAAGCGACCCAGCUUCGGCCUUGACCCGCAGGUUCCCGAUCCACCUUUCAAACCCGUACCAGAGACAUCACGUACAUUGGCGCCGUCUGUGGGGAUCUUGCGCCAGCCGAGCCGGACGGGGGACGCCCUGGAGGAAACCCCCUCAAGCCAGGAUGACUCCCAACCGCUUCACCCAACCCCAGAACACCGGGAGGUCACGAACCAAGCAAGAAUAGCAAGUACUGUCCACCACACGAACGACCACGUCGUCACGGACCAACGACAUCCUGAGAAAGCUAGGGACAAAGCGACGCAGAUCAUCCAGGACCUCUGCCUCCGAGUCCAGGAGCUCGAAGGCAAACUGACCAAUAGAGAAAAACACAACAACGAACACGGAAGCUAGGCAACUUCCAGAUCAAGAUCUCGCCGCGGCAGGUCCCCAACCCGACGGCCCGAUAGGAGAGACGGUCGCAGCGCCUCACGCGACCACGGUCACGAGAAAUCGCCGGAACGGCAGUACAACAAGAAACACAACCGCAGUGCUUCCCGAGAUCUAAGUCGUCAACGCGACUCAGACGAAGAUCGGAGGUACCGAAAUACCAAGCGCACAAGAAACGACCACACAAUAAUGGGAGCUACACCUUUCACAGAAAGAAUCCUGAGAGCGAAACUCCGCAAAGGUUUCGACAAACCUACCGACAUGAAGUACGAUGGGACCAAGGACCCCCAGGAACAUCUAACGGCCUUCGAGGCCAGGAUGAACCUAGAAGGAGCGGCCGACGCGGUCCGAUGCAGAGCCUUCCCGGUAACCCUUGCAGGACCGGCAAUCAAAUGGUUCAACGCCCUCCCAAACGGAUCCAUAGCCACUUUCCACGAUAUAACACGAAAGUUCAUGGCCCAAUUCACAACUAGAAUCACCAAAGCCAAGCACCCCAUCAGCUUGCUAGGGGUCACGCAAAAACAAGAAUAAUCCACAAGGAAAUACCUCGACCGCUUCAACGACGAAUGCCUAACGAUCGACGGACUCACGGAUUCCAUCGCAAGCCUUUGCUUAACCAACGGACUCAUAAACGAAGAUUUUCGCAAACACCUCACCACCAAACCAGUAUGGACCAUGCACGAGAUCCAGAAUGUCGCGAAAGAUUACAUCAAUGACGAAGAAGUCAGCCAGGUUGUCGCCGCCAACAAACGGCAACACGGCAACACCCAACACGGCAACUCGGCUUCUCGCCAAAAUGCACCACCCAAAGAGAAUCAAAGGGACCACCCCAAACUGACAAAUACAAACCGACCACCGAGAAUCGGCAAAUUCUCUAAUUACACGCCCCUGACAGCACCAAUUACCGAAAUAUACCACCAAAUAGCAGAUCGAGGCAUCAUUCCGAAAGCCCGACAACUCAAAGAAAGGACGGGAGGCAACAAAACCCUCUACUGCGACUACCACCGAGGUUACGGUCACAGAACACAAGAUUGUUUCGACCUUAAAGACACCCUCGAACAAGCCAUACGAGACGGCAAACUCCCAGAAUUUGCCAAAAUCAUCAGAGAACCAAGACGUGCAGAAAGAGACAGGUCGCCGGAAAAAGACGGGCGUAACCCGAGAACCCAUAAGCAACCCCCCAGGGAAAGCUCAGAAGACGACCCGACCAUCAUAGUAAACGUCAUCACGGGCAAGGACAUAUCAAGCAAGUCGAAACUAAUGAUGAAAAAAGAUCUCAAAGUAAUGGCUGUCAGAAACCAGACUCCAACCAUUGCAGCCGACAACACGAUAACCUUCUUACCAGAGGAUUGCCAGCACGGCACCUCGGCCGAAGAUGCCCCCUUCGUCAUCUCGGCCAGAAUCGGAACAGGACUAGUACGAAGGAUACUGGUGGACACCGGGGCGGACUCGAACAUCCUCUUCCGAGGAGCCUUCGACAAGCUCGGGCUCCACAACGACAACCUCCAAACACACCGCAACGGCGUCACGGGACUCGGAGACAACUUUCUCAAACCAGACGGCUCAAUCACCCUUCCCAUCACCAUAGGAACAAGCAACCAAAAGAAGACAGUCCUAUCUGAAUUUGUAGUCCUAAAAGACUCCACAGCCUAUAACGUGAUUCUCGGAAGAAAAACAAUCAACGACUUCUCCGCAGUCAUCUUUACCAAAUACCUCCUCAUGAAGUUUAGAACCGACGACGGCUCCGUCGGUACCAUCCACGGGGACCGAGAAGUCGCAGCCGAAUGCGACAACACCAGCCUAGCUCUAAGGAAGAAAUCCCGAGAUGCGGCCGAGGUAUUCCUGGCCGACCUGGAUGCCCGCCAAGACGACCAACCCAGGCCAGAACCAGAAGGAGACAUGGAAAAGCUACAGAUAGGGCCAACCAAGGAGGAAUACACCUUCAUUAAUAGGAACCUCCCAUACGAUCUUAAAGAAGAACUCUCCCAACUCCUGAAGAAAAAUAGAGACUUGUUCGCAUUUACACCAGCCGACAUGCCGGGAAUAAACCCCGACCUUAUGUCCCACCGGCUAGCCGUNNNNNNNNNNNNNNNNNNNNNNNNNNNNNNNNNNNNNNNNNNNNNNNNNNNNNNNNNNNNNNNNNNNNNNNNNNNNNNNNNNNACGUCGUACUAGUAAAAAAAUCUAACGGGAAAUGGCGAAUGUGCGUCGACUACACGGACCUCAACAAAACCUGCCCGAAGGACGCCUUCCCCUUACCAAACAUCGACGGAUUGGUAGACGCCGCAUCCGGCCACCGAUACCUCAGCUUCAUGGACGCAUAUUCCGGCUACAACCAGAUCCCGAUGCACCAACCAGACGAAGAAAAAACAGCGUUCAUCACCCCAGACGGGACAUACUGCUACACAGUGAUGCCCUUCGGCCUGAAAAACGCUAGAGCCACCUAUCAAAGACUUGUCAACAAGAUAUUUCAAAACCUAUCCGGAAGCAAACUAGAAGUCUACAUAGACGACAUGCUCGUCAAGACCGAAUCCGGCGAGCAACUCACCAACGACCUUAAGGUCAUAAUGAACACUCUACGAAAGCACCAAAUGUGACUCAACCCGGCAAAAUGUGCCUUCGGGAUGGAGGCAUGGAAGUUCCUCGGCUUUAUGAUCACGCAACGCGGAGUCGAAGCAAACCCAGAGAAAUGUCGCGCCAUCCUCGAAAUGACGAGCCCAAAAAACCUUAAAGACAUCCAAAAGCUCACCGGCCGAUUGACGGUGUUAUCACGCUUUCUCGGGGCAUCGGCUCAAAAAGCGAUCCCUUUCUUCAAACUAAUGAAAAAAGGGGCCCCUUUCAAGUGGGAGACGGAAUGCGAAGAAGCGUUCCAACAUUUCAAGAGAGUCUUAGCGGAACCACCAAUCCUCGCCAAACCCCAGACAGAGGAAACACUCUACCUGUACCUCUCCAUAACGGAGGAGGCACUCGCAGCAGCGCUCAUCCGUGAAAACGAGAAAAAAAGAAUAAAAACCCGUAUACUUCAUAAGCAGAGUCUUACAGGAUGCGGAAGCUCGCUACUCACGCUUAGAAAAACUAGCUUUCGCACUCCUCAUAGCCUCCCGGCGCCUACGACAAUACUUCCAAGCUCAUUCCGUGACGGUCCGAACCGACCAAGCGGUCAAACAGGUACUACAAAAACACGACCUAGCGGGCAGAAUGCUAGCAUGGUCCAUCGAACUAUCCCAGUUCGAUAUCAAGUUCGAACCCUGAUACGCGAUCAAAGCACAAGCCAUGACCGACUUUAUCGCCGAAAUAACACCAGGAGACUCCACCCCCGAAUCAUGGAAGCUAUACGUUGACGGCUCCUCGAACAUCACUUCCGGAGGCGCCGGAGUCAUUCUCGAAAGCCAAAAUGGAGUCGUGAUCGAACAGUCAGUACGAUACAAAUUCCCAGUCUCAAACAACCAGGCAGAAUACGAGGCCCUCUUGGAGGCCUAGCCCUAGCCCGGGAAGUCGGAGCAAAGGUCCUAGAAGUAAAUACCGAUUCGCAGGUAGUCAGCUCCCAAAUUAACGGAGACUACCAGACACGAGAUCCCCUACUCCAACAAUACCUCACCAAGGUAAACAAACUAAAAGAAGGAUUCGAGCACGUUACCAUACAGCACGUUCCUAGGGAACGAAACGCCAGGGCAGACCUACUUUCCAAACUAGCCAGUACCAAACCAGGACACGGCAACAAAUCGCUAAUCCAGAAAGUCGUUAAAUCACCCUCCGUGUCAACGAUGACCAACGCUCCUCUGACACUCUCGAACCAGGGAUCUUGGACCUACCUUAUCCUACAGUACCUCCUUGACGGAACACUGCCGCCGGAUCCCAAAGAGGAAAAAUGAAUAAAAAGGGAAGCCGCCAACUAUACAGUUGUCACAGGACAGCUAUACAAACGUGGACUCUCGCAACCCCUGCUCAAAUGUGUCGAACCUGAGAACACAGAGUACAUACUUCACGAAAUCCACGAAGGCUGCUGCGGCCACCACGUCGGAGGCAAAACAUUAGCCCAAAAAGUCAUCAGGGCAGGCUGCUUCUGGCCCACGGUUAUCCGGGAUUCCAUACAAAUAGUUAAAAUCUGCGACAAAUGCCAAAGGCACGCCAAUAUCCACUAAGCCGCCCCACACCAGCUCAGCAUCAUAUCGGCAGAACGGCCGUUCGGCACCUGGGGGAUCGACCUCGUCGGACCCUUCCCUACAGCACCCGGUCAACUCAGGUACCUCAUCGUCGCCAUAGACUACUAUACCAAAUGGAUCGAAGCCGAACCCCUGGCCUCCAUAACGGCAACCCAAUGCCGAAAAUUUCUCUGGCGACAGAUCAUCACCCGAUUCGGGAUCCCCGAGAUCAUUAUCUCGGACAACGGAACCCAAUUUGUUGACAAAAAGUUCAGAGAAUUUUUGGAAGGGCUACAUGUAUCUCACCGUUUCAGCUCGGUAGAACACCCCCAAACAAAUGGACAGGUGGAAUCCGCAAACAAAAUAAUCGUCAAAGGACUCAAAAAGCGGCUCGACGAAGCCAAAGGACUAUGGGCCGACGAACUCGGAUCGGUCCUAUGGUCAUACCGAACCACACCUCAAACGACCACGGGAGAAACACCUUUCCGAUUAACAUACGGAGUGGAGGCGGUCAUCCCGGUAGAAAUCGGAGACCCAAGCCCCAGAAAAACGGUCGGCGGUUACGACGAGGAAGCAGAACGAGAUCUCAUCGACGAAGAAAGAAGCAUAGCUCAUAUCAAAAGAGCUAGCCCUAAAACAGAGAAUCAGCUUAAGAUACAACCAUGGCGUCGUCCGACGAGAAUUCGCAACCGACGACCUCGUCCUACGACGAAACGAUAUCGGUCUCCCGACCCCAGGAGAAGGGAAACUCACUCCCAAAUGAGAAGGACCAUACAGAAUAAAGGCGGUAAUCGGAAAGGGAGCAUAUAAACUCGAACGACUUAACGGCGAUGAAGUCCCAAGGACCUGGAACGCCUCCAAUUUACGGCGAUACUACACUUAGGCCGACCUAACUAGGUCACCCCCUUGUCCUUUAUUUAUUUAUAUACCUUCCCAUUUUACGACUCUUGAAUUUUAAUUUUCGCUNUGGAGGGUUUUAACGAGGCCCAACCAUUAAUAAAAAUUCCAUUAAAAGCUAUUUCUACCUUUCUAAAGUGUCCCAAAUACGGAACAAAGUCACGGCCACAACCGGGGGACUGAUCACCCCCCAGGCCCAACACACGGAUAUCCAAGAAAAACCCGACCAAACGGCGGGCCAAGGGAACGAAUAAAACACACGGAACAGCUUAAAACGGAACAUACCAAAGGCUCGAACGGCCAAAAAUACUUUGAAACGGAACAUACAAAAGGCCUGAACGGCCGAAAAUACCAUUAAGCGGAGUCCAAUGUUACGAAGUAAACAAUUACACGGCCCCUGGCCAUCCAAAAUAUUCAAAACAGUUCAAAAUAAAAUCCAAAAAACAAAGAUAGAAAACUACUCGAGGUCGACAAUCUGGCCGUCGCGAACAGUCUUAAAAGCUCCCAUCACGGACACAUCCACAUCCGGAGCCAACACUAAAGCCUGAGCCCUCAUAGUCUCCUCAGUAGCUGCAAUCGCAUCCUUUGCAUCAGCCAGUAACUCCGUCUUCUCCUUCUUUAAGGCAACAACCUCGGCCUUCAAAGUCUCCGACUCACUGAGAAGUACGGCAGCCUGAGAACCCGCAUCAGAAGCCCACUGCCGCUCCUCUGCCAAUUGAGAAAGAAGCGAAGUCUCGACCUCGGAAAGUCGGAGAAUCUCCGCCCCGGCUUCCUCAGAGGACUUCACCGCCCUCUCCCUCGCAACUUUGGCAGCCUCAAGCUUCUCCUUCAGCUUAGCCACCUCAGCCUGAGAGUGGCGGAGCUUCUUAUCCAACAAACCGACCUGAGCCAUCACGGGCUCAGCUUUCCGAACAACAACGGCAGACCGAAGGAGAGCACGAUACACCGACUUGGCCUGGAACGAAACAUCACAGCCAUCAAAAAACGGCUCCGUACCAGGCAUCAAGUAUUGAUCAAUGAACCCCGGGGCAUCGAAACGUCGAUCCAUCACGCUAGGCACAAGACCCUCAUCCUUAAAAGUCUCGUUGCUCGGCUCCUCAGACCUCUUUCUCUUCCGAGAAGCCUCAGCAGCUGUCACCACGACGACCUCAGGUGAGUUCGCAGGACCAGGAGAAAUCUGAGCAUCGGUCCGCACACCCGAAGAAACUACCUCUUGAGAAGCAGCCUGAGACCCCACGGCGGGAUUGGAAACAGGAGUAGCCGGAGACGACGACCCCUCCUCCCGGCCCAUCGCCGCCUUCAGCCGUGCUAAGGAAGUCAAACCACCAGCCAUCUCAACUGAAAGAAAACAAAAAAACAAUCCCAAGUUACAAAAACGGAAAAACAAAACAUAAAUACCAAGAAAAGGACAGACACACACCAACAUAUGACCGACAAGCAACCGGAUCUCCCAUCACAUCCCGAGGAUUAAGAGGGCGAUCCCCAAACAAUUGCCACAAUACAAGAGCGACAUCCCAUUCCUCCGAAGUCAGGAACUCUUGCGUAACCCGAGUAAAAAUCGACGGCCCCGCCUUAAAAUUCCAAUAGGUAGGAAACCGCCGCUCACCCUCCAAUGUCAACCAAAAAGGAUGAUGCCCUCUUGCGAGACGAACCUUAAAAUAUUCACUCUUAAAACCAUGAAAGGAAUCUUCAUACAAACCGAAGACCCGACGAUGAGGCUGAGCUCUAAAAGACACAUACCCCUUCUUAUGCUUCCCCUCCUUGGUCGGAAGGGUACACAAGAAGAGGAAAAGAAAAACGUUCACCGAAGCAGGAAGCUCCAAAAAAUCGCAAACAAGCUCGAAAGACCGUAUUGCCGCCCAGCUAUUCGGAUGUAGCUGGAACGGCGCCACGGAGCACCGGCUCAAUAACUGCUGAACAAAUGGAGAAAAGGGGAGCCAAACGCCAAGCCGGGUAAACAUCGCCUCGUAGACCCACAUCUAAUCCGGCACACUCGGGGAGUCCAGAUUGGUAUAGCAAACCCUCUCGUCAACCCCAGGGAGGAAAAGCUCGUAAUGGCGUUCGGCGUCACCACCCCCACAAACAGCUCCUUGAUCACGGAGCCGUUGGAGGUCCUCCUCCGUCAUCCGCGACGGCGUCCCCCACACGUCACUAGUGACCCAAGAGAAAAGGUCGGGGACACCCCCCGCCGGGGCCACCGGAUCCCUCACACCUUCAGUCCUUCGACGAGCCCAUACCUAAAAUAGCGACGAACACCACCGUCAGCCAAACCCCGCGGCAGAAAACGGUGGAUCAAACCAAACAGACACCACUAGACACCACCAAUUAUACGGUGGCGCUCGCCCCCCUUACAAAACCCACUACCCCAACAAGAACUAUCUACCAUAAUACAAUGCCAUCAUACACAAAAAAAAAAAAACAAUUCUAACCUACACUAAGCAGAGACAAAACAAAAUAAAGGAAGACAAAGCAUAAAUCACAAGAGGAAACAAAAAGAAGCAGAAGAGCACCAACCUGAUAAAUGCAAGGAAAUAAAUCAGAGGAGAAAAUGCCACGGCAGAAGAUCAACCAAAGCCACAGAAUGCGAAAGGAAAAGAAGAAAAAACUCUUUCGGAGAAGAAAAGAGAAAUGAAGAGGGAACUAAAGGAAGAAAGAAACGAAGAGGGAACUAAAGGAAGAAAACCAAAACGGUUUCGAAAAAAGCAAAAUAACGCAAAUACCCCUGAAAAGAAAAGGAAACAUAAGGGCAAUAGAGGAAAACGUCCCCUCACAAUAAAUGCCCCCUCGGAAAGAGAAACUAAUAAAUCGCGCCUCAAAGAACGCAACGGGCGCAGCAGACACGGAAGAGUCAUGACAAACCAAAACGGUCAGACGAAUCUUCCACGGAACGAAACCGAGGCGCCGACCUCCUCUCAAAAGAACCAAACGACCUUUCGAGAAAGGCCAAAAGCCUAGCCCACGGUAAAAGUAAUAUCUCCCAGCGACAGACCGACCUCGCUCGCUCUCCCGCUGCGGGGGCAACUGUUACGGAUCUGAACCACAGAUCCCGGACCAGGGACUGCACCCGACCCCGGCUACCCGGGUCCGACCCAUACCUCGCUCAAAAGGCCCAAAAACCGACCUUCCAAAGAGCUCCUAACCAACUUUCGAAAUCACCCGUCCAUCUUAUCUUAACCAGAUAAGAUAAGAUAAGAUACUCAUCACCACCUAUAAAUAGGAGACCCAAGCCCCUCCAGGUAAUCAUCAAUUCCACACACCUUAUACCUCUCAGAUCCAUUCUGACUUGAGCGUCGGAGUGUCUUUGCAGGUACCUCCCCCCAUUGCUCCAGUCAAACGACCCGGCUUCGGCCUUGAUCCGCAGGUUCCCGAUCCACCUUUCAAACCCGUACCAGAGACAUCACGUACAUAAUAUACAAUUGAUUAUUGUAUAUUUACAUUAAAAAUACAUUAAAAAAUAAAUUUUAAAAGAAUAUAUUUAAUAAAAAAAAUUAAGACUCAGCAUUAUUAGUGCUAACUUAGGCUUCUGCACUGUAACCAUAGUUAAAUUAUGAGGUGUUCUUUUUGGUAUGAAAUUAGUUUUUUUCAUAUAUAUUUUUUCAAUCUCUCCAUUGAAAUAGUUUCAAAAGCUACAGUUUUGUUAUGCUUGUAAGAAAAUUAUGACCUUCAUGUAUCUCGAGCUAUUAUUGCAGUUAUUAAAAACAGGUUCAUCAGAUUCUUAAGUUAAGAGCUUCAUCAUGUUUUUUCGUGAAAUAAAUGUUUGUACUGAUCAUGUAGCGACCAAAAGACAUAAUUCACUAUUUAGUAGUCAUUUCUUUUAUAAUUUAUCAUCCUGUUUUUCUUUUUGUUUUGUCUGAUACCAUGGGCACCUUUUUUUUUUAAAUAGUUUCUGUGCAGUGUCGUUGGAUUUUAGCCCCGUUGAUCAUAAAAAAAAAUAUUACAAAGUUAAUAUUACAGUCAAUAUUUAACACACACACACAAAAUUUAAAACUCUUAAAAAUUAUAAUAUUUAAAACUCGGUUAAAAAAUUUUUAUAAUCCAAACUUAAUAAAUUCAUUUUUAUUCAUUUUUAUUAAGACUCUUUUGGCAACCUUUACCGACUACAAUAUUAGGUCCUUUAGAUGAUAUCAUUGUCUUUUAAUAAUGAGUAAUUAUCUAAAUCAUCGGUCUUUUGAAAUUUUUAAAAUUGGAUACUUUAGUUCUCAAAUUUUAAAAUGUACAAAAUAGUUCAAUAGGUAUUUCAAAUGUUUGUGAUACAAAGAGUUUAAGUAUUAUUUAAAAUUUAUUAGUUUAUAUUUUUAGAAUGUUCAAUUUAAUUUGAUAUAUUUUAAUUUUAUUUAUUUAGUUAUUGAAUUAGAUUUUAUGUUUUUGGGUUUAGAAUUUUCUUUGUUUUAACUUAAUAAGAAAUUAUAAAUACCUCAUAAACUAUUGUAGUUAUCAUACGAAGAGAUUAAAAAAGUGACAAAUCACUUUUUGGUUUCGUGAUGAAAUUAUAGUAUAAACAAGUAAGGUUGAAUGAGUCUCUGUUUUGUUACAUAAGGAAAUUGAGCAGAAGGUAGGUUAAAUGAGUCUCUCUGAUUCAAUUUUCAAAUUAUAGUGUGGACAAGUUAAGUUGAGGAAUCUCUUUUUUGUAAAAUGAAGAAAUUGGAUAGAAAGUAGAGUAAUUUUUUUAUAUUCAAUUUCAAUCUAUCUUUUUGUUUUCUAUUUUCUAUUUUUAAUUUCAAUUCAUCUUUUUUAUUUCAAUUUUUAUCUUCUUGUUUAUUAUUAGUUGUCAUUUCGUAUCACGGUCUCCAACGUUUAUUUCCAUUAAACAAUACAAUCUCCUUGCGUUAGUCAACGACGACAACAAUGGUUGAAACGUUAACUCACGUACGUGAUCAUUAAAUAUCCACAUGUGCACUUUAGACAAACCAGUCUCUAAAAUAAAAUACAAAACAAUAUCCAAAAAAUUUAAAUAAUUUCAAAAUAAUUCCCGNNNNNNNNNNNNNNNNNNNNNNNNNNNNNNNNNNNNNNNNNNNNNNNNNNNNNNNNNNNNNNNNNNNNNNNNNNNNNNNNNNNNNNNNNNNNNNNNNNNNNNNNNNNNNNNNNNNNNNNNNNNNNNNNNNNNNNNNNNNNNNNNNNNNNNNNNNNNNNNNNNNNNNNNNNNNNNNNNNNNNNNNNNNNNNNNNNNNNNNNNNNNNNNNNNNNNNNAAAAAAAUAUAAAUAAUUUAAAAUAAAUGAAGCCAUAUAUUACUUUUGACUAUACAAAAUAUUACUUUAAAUUUUUAAGGAACUACUGUUGCUCACAUACAUAAACACUUGAUGAUUAUAUGUAUAAGUUAACGUUUCACGUAACUAAUGAAAAUGAAGGAAAUUGUAUUACUAUUAUCUAACAGAAAUAAUAAUUGAAAAUUAUUUUAUGUAUUUAAAAUUAAUGUCUAAAUUUAAAAAUUUCGAACUGAUUUAGCAAUUCCUCCUUGAUAAUAAUAUACCAAAAAUUUAUACUUUUUUGNNNNNNNNNNNNNNNNNNNNNNNNNNNNNNNNNNNNNNNNNNNNNNNNNNNNNNNNNUACACUAACAAUUUGAUGAUAAUUCAAAAUAGAAUUGAUUUUUAUAUAAAAAAAAUAUUAAAUUAGUAAUUAAUGAUUUUUUUUAGUGACUAAGGAUCUUUUACAUUUAGUGAGAGGUCUUUGGUUCAACAUUCACUUAAAAUAUAUUUUUAUAUAAGUAUAUAAUAUAUACAUAUAUAGAGUGCGGGUUGGUCGGAUGAAACUCAACCUGCACCCUACCUACCCACACAAAAAUCCUAUCCGCAUCCUACCCUAUCAACAGCAGAUCGAAUUGACAACCCUACCCAAUCGAAUAGGAUCAGAUUAAAUACCCGCGAGUAGGUACAUAUUCCCACCCUUCGUACCGUAAAAGGUUUAAGACAUAAGGGGCUCAAAAAAUUUACAAAGGUAUGCUGUGGCAACAACUAAAAAAGCAAAACGACGUUCACUUCAUAACAAAUGGAGAUAUUUUUUUAUAUCCCCAGUUCCCUCCGGCUCUCAGCCUCUGACACACAUCCCAAUAAUAAUAAUGAUAAUAAUAAUAAUAAUAAUAAAAGGAUUAUAAGGCUACACUCUCUGCUCCUUUUCUCCAGUUAGGUAUUUACUUAGCUUGAUCAGUUGUCAAAUCUCAUGGAGAAGCAGAACCACCAACCCUCCGUCGUAGCACUUGUCGUUGGAGUCACAGGCAUGGCUGGUCUCAGCCUAGCCCAGGCCCUAAAGCACCCCGAUUGCCUUGGAGGCCCAUGGAAGGUUUAUGGCGCCGCCCGAUCCCAGCCCACUUGGUUCCCUCCUUCCACCGUUGACCACUUCAUCGCAUUCGACGCCGUUGACUCCGCCAGCACGCACUCCAACCUCUCCCCCAUAGCUCACGAGGUCACCCACCUCUUCUGGGUCACCGUUCAGUUCCCCGGCGACGAAGAAGCCAACGUCGCCGUCAACACAACAAUGCUCCACAACGUCCUCACCACCCUCAAAUCCUCACCUUCUUCCCGGCUAAGCCACGUCACCCUCCAAACCGGGACUAAACACUACAUGGGCCCAAUCCAAGACCCCACCCGGUCCAACCAACUCGUUGGCCACGAACCACCUUUUCACGAGGACAUGCCCCGACUCCCUUACCCGAAUUUCUACUACGCGCUGGAGGACCUCCUUGCAUCCCACGCGCCAUCACUUACCUACUCAGUGCACCGCUCGUCCAUUAUAAUUGGCGCGUCUUCAAGAAGCGGCCACAACGCGCUUGUUAUGGUGGGUGCUUACGCCGCGGUAUGCCGGCACCUGGGAGUGCCGUUUCGGUACCCGGGGAACCGGUACACGUGGGAGCAUUUCUGUGACAUGACGGAUGCACGUGUGCUGGCGCAGCAGCACGUGUGGGCUGCGGUUACCGAGAAGGCCAAGAACGAAGCGUUUAACUGCAUGAACGGAGAUUUGUUCACGUGGAAGAGCAUGUGGAAAUUUUAUAGUGAAGUUUAUGAUGUUGAGUUCAAAUUCUAUCGCACCGCUAUAAGACCGGCUAUGUUUUAUGAUACAGAAUUUUUGGCGGCUAAAGGGGAGUACGAGUAUAAGUUGAGUGUGGCAGAGAUAAAAAUGUUGAGAUGGAUGAGUGGUCAUACGCGAUUGGAUAAAAUAAGGAACGAAGAUAUAAGAGAGAGAGUUGGAGUAGCACCUAUUGUAGAAAAGAUGGUUAAAUUACAUCUCAGGUGGUUUGGACAUGUGAGAAGAAGACCGAUAGAACAUCCAGUCAGGAGGGUGGAUGAGAUGGAAGAUGGACAAUGAGCGAAAGGCAGAAGAAUACCUAAGAAGACCAUCUAUGAGGUGGUCAAACAAGAUCUACAUGUAAACGGUCUCUCUGUUAACAUGAUACAUGACAGAACACAAUGGUAUCGUUUAAUUCAUGUAGCCGACCCCACUUAGUGGGACAAGACUUUGUUGUUGUUGUUGUUUGUAAUAUACAAUUGAUUAUUGUGUAUUUAAUUAUAUUAAAAUAAUUAAACAAUAAAUUCUAAAAGAAUAUAUUUAAUAAAAAAUAUUGAGAGUUAGCANNNNNNNNNNNNNNNNNNNNNNNNNNNNNNNNNNNNNNNNNNNNNNNNNNNNNNNNNNNNNNNNNNNNNNNNNNNNNNNNNNNNNNNNNNNNNNNNNNNNNNNNNNNNNNNNNNNNNNNNNNNNNNNNNNNNNNNNNNNNNNNNNNNNNNNNNNNNNNNNNNNNNNNNNNNNNNNNNNNNNNNNNNNNNNNNNNNNNNNNNNNNNNNNACUUAAUACUUAAUAAAAUUCAUUUUUAUUAAACUUCGUUGUAGAUUUUUUUGGCAACCUUUACUUGCUACAAUAUUAGGUUCCUCAGACACUAACAUUAUUAAUAAUGAGUAAUCAUCCAAAUCAGUCAAUAAAAUAUUUAAAAUUAGACAUUUUAAUUUUUUAAAUUUUAAAAUGUACAAAACAGUUUUUAACAUUUAUUUUCGUUAGAGAAUAUAGUCUCCUUCUAUUAAUCAAUAACGACGACUGGUGAUCUAAAACGUUAACUCAUACACGUAGUCGUUAAGUAUUCACAUGUGUAAUCUGAACAAAUCAAUUUCUAGAGUAAAGUAUAAAACAGUCUUCGAAAAAUUUAAAAAAUUUUAAAUUAGUUCCUAAAAAAUUUUUAAAAUAAAUAAACCUAUAUAUUACUUUUGACCAUACAAAAUAGUAAUUUAAUUUUUAAUAUAUAGAUAACAUACUUUUUUAUCAUUUUUUAAUGAUGAUCAAAAGAAUGAGCUAGUAUUGUUUGAAAAAAUAAAAGAACUCUCAUUUAACAUAAAUUUUUCACAUAAAUAACUUGAAAAUAUUUGUGCAAAUGUUUAUAAAAAUAAUACUUCAGAACUUGCAUGUAAUACGAACUAAGUCACCUAUGAAAUUCAAUUUGUAAAUUUUAGUCAAUCACAAUGUCAAUGUGGAUGAUUUAUAAACUUUUGAUGUGAAGCUCCUAAUAUUUUGCAAUACUUAAAAAAAAUAUCUUAGUAAAUCUAAGUGUUCUGUUUAUAUUUUUUAGUAAAAAAUUUUAAAAUUUAUUGAUUGUAAUGUUGCAUAAAAUAGACUUAUAGUUAAAAUUGUUUGUGUUACUAUAAUUAGUAAUUACACAAAGAAAAAAUAGAUUUUUUUUCACUUAGAAAUAAUUUUUCUAAGUUUAUUUGAUUUCAAUAUCUUAAAAAUUUAGGUAUAUAAAUAAUAGUCUUUAUAAUCAAAUGACAUGUUAGAUUGAGUUGUUAUUAUUAUGAUUUCUAUANNNNNNNNNNNNNNNNNNNNNNNNNNNNNNNNNNNNNNNNNNNNNNNNNNNNNNNNNNNNNNNNNNNNNNNNNNNNNNNNNNNNNNNNNNNNNNNNNNNNNNNNNNNNNNNNNNNNNNNNNNNNNNNNNNNNNNNNNNNNNNNNNNNNNNNNNNNNNNNNNNNNNNNNNNNNNNNNNNNNNNNNNNNNNNNNNNNNNNNNNNNNNNNNNNNNNNNNNNNNNNNNNNNNNNNNNNNNNNNNNNNNNNNNNNNNNNNNNNNNNNNNNNNNNNNNNNNNNNNNNNNNNNNNNNNNNNNNNNNNNNNNNNNNNNNNNNNNNNNNNNNNNNNNNNNNNNNNNNNNNNNNNNNNNNNNNNNNNNNNNNNNNNNNNNNNNNNNNNNNNNNNNNNNNNNNNNNNNNNNNNNNNNNNNNNNNAAAUAUUAUAAGACAUGAACUUUUGAAAAAGAUUAAAAAUAUUUGAAGAGAUGGUUUUCGAAAUUUUUAAAAUUUUUUAAGAAUUGUUUUGAGAUUUUUUCAUGUUAGCAAUCACCAUUAGUAACUAAUGGAGGAAGACGGUAUUAUCUAACAGAAGUAAACGUGAUGUUCGAGAGAAAAUUUGAACAUUAAUGAAAAAGUAGUUUAAAUUUGGAUAUUCUUUAUGCUUACAUACUCUCCUUGGCACUAAACUGUGUUGUUCCUUAUUGUAUUAAAUGCUAAAUAUUAAUUAUAUAGUAAAAAUUAUAAUAACUUUUUUAGAUAUUAUUUUAAUUUUCUNNNNNNNNNNNNNNNNNNNNNNNNNNNNNNNNNNNNNNNNNNNNNNNNNNNNNNNNNNNNNNNNNNNNNNNNNNNNNNNNNNNNNNNNNNNNNNNNNNNNNNNNNNNNNNNNNNNNNNNNNNNNNNNNNNNNNNNNNNNNNNNNNNNNNNNNNNNNNNNNNNNNNNNNNNNNNNNNNNNNNNNNNNNNNNNNNNNNNNNNNNNNNNNNNNNNNNNNNNNNNNNNNNNNNNNNNNNNNNNNNNNNNNNNNNNNNNNNNNNNNNNNNNNNNNNNNNNNNNNNNNNNNNNNNNNNNNNNNNNNNNNNNNNNNNNNNNNNNNNNNNNNNNNNNNNNNNNUAUUUAAAUUAAUGAAAUUUUUAUUAUUCAUAAUUAUUAAUAUAAAUAUUAUUAAACAUAUAUAAAUAAAAAUAUCAAAUAUUUUUAUUAAUUAUAAUAUCAUUAUUAUUUUUUUAAUAUUUAUUAAAUAUUAUUUUUCAAUAAAAAUAAUAUAAUAAAUAUAAACUAAUCAGUUAGUUAUUGAAAUAAAAUAUAAUUAUUUUAGUAUGAAAAUAAAAUUAAAAAAUCUUUAUUAUGAAAAAAUACUAGAAUUUUAUAUACUUAUUUAAUAGAUUAUAGAUUAUAACUUAUUGAUUAUAAUUUGUUAAAAUUUGAUUGUUUUUAAAAUAUUAGUGAAGAUAUAUAUUUUUUAAAUUUUAAUUUUAGAUUUUAGAUUAUUUUAUAUUUUUUAUUUAUGUAAAAUUAGUUUCGUCAGUUUAACCAAUAAUUUAUUAGUUAAACCAAUAAAGUAAUAAACCAAUAAUCUAAUUAGGGUUGACAAUCUAUACCCUACUUGCGGGUAUUCAACUGGACCAAUCCGUUCGAGUAGGGUUGUCUACCCAAUCCGCUGCGGAUAUAGUAGGGUGCGGUGCGGGUUUACCUGCGGAUAGAAUAGGGUACAGGUUCAGGGUAUAUCCUACACUACCCUAUCCGCACCCUUAGACUUUCUCAUAUAUUAUAUAACAUAUAUGUAAAAGUUAUGUAUGUAGUAAAGAAAGUGAAUGUUGAAGUCACAAUCUUUCUCUUAUAAAAACUUGAAAUAACUACUAAAUUAGUUGAUAAUCAUAUUAUUUGUAAUUUUAUGUUAGAUUUUUUUAAGAUUUUAUUGUAUUUAAUUUUAAUUUAAAUUUAGCUUUUUAUUUCCUAUUUUAUUAAUANNNNNNNNNNNNNNNNNNNNNNNNNNNNNNNNNNNNNNNNNNNNNNNNNNNNNNNNNNNNNNNNNNNNNNNNNNNNNNNNNNNNNNNNNNNNNNNNNNNNNNNNNNNNNNNNNNNNNNNNNNNNNNNNNNNNNNNNNNNNNNNNNNNNNNNNNNNNNNNNNNNNNNNNNNNNNNNNNNNNNNNNNNNNNNNNNNNNNNNNNNNNNNNNNNNNNNNNNNNNNNNNNNNNNNNNNNNNNNNNNNNGAAUAAGGGGAAUAAGGGUUUAAAACCUUAGGAUGCGAUUAGGGUUAGAGUUGAGAAAUUCUCAACUUGCAAAUAAGAUAAAGUAAAAUUUUAAAAAAAAAUUUCAAUUCACGAAUAAGAUUAAGAUAUAGAAUCCAAACCCUACCCUACUCUAAUCAUUGCCCGCCCUAAAUCUAAUUGGUUUAAUUAACGAUUAGGUUAUGACAACUAUCAUCCGAACCUCCUCAUCCACAUACAUCUAUUCUUUCAAGUCAGCUAGAUUUGAUAAUGGUUAAAGCAUGUGAAAGUUUCGUGGCUUUAGGAAACACCUCUUUUGUGGCAGGCAUUGCAACACAAAAGAUAUGUUUAAUUAUUAUUUGUCAGUUUUAAUAAUUUUUAUUGAUUUAAUUUAAUUUAUAUUUAUUUUAUCUUCUAAAUAUAUAUUAAAAAUUUAAUAAAUUAUUGUUUAAAUAAUCAAAUCAAAUAGUUUUUAUAUUUUUAUUUUUUUGAAUUUGAGUUUCACUCCUAAUUAAAAAAAAAAUAUCUAUUAAAAAAUAUUAAUAAAUAUCAUAAUCUUAAAAAGAAAAUUUAUUUGCUGUAAUUUAAUGGAAAGUAAUCAAAGUAUCUGUAUCUUUCUCUUAUAACUUUAAAGAUCUUCAAUGUACAAUUGAGAAGGAGAGAGUGUAUAUAUAUAGAGAGAGUAAUUUCAACAUAUCAGAUUCAGAUUUACUAAUACUAUAGUAAACAAUUAAACAUCAAUAAUUCACUUCCUUUGUAUUCAUGGAGAACCAACAUUAUGUAGCGCUUAUAGUUGGAGUCACAGGUAUGGUUGGGCUUAACAUAGCCCAAGCCUUGAAGAAGCCCGACUGCAAGGGAGGCCCAUGGAAGGUUUACGGAGCAGCCCGCCGUCCCCCGCCCGCCACCUGGUUUCCUGCUUCCAUCGUGGAUGAUUUCAUCAGCUUCGACGCCGUCGAUGCCGCCACCACACAAGCCAGCCUCUCCCCCAUAGCCCACGAGGUCACACACCUCUUCUGGGUAGCUCUUCAGUUUCAGGAAGACGAAGAAGCCAACAUUGCCACCAACAAAGGCAUGCUCCACAACGUUCUCACCACACUCAAAUCUUCCCCUGCUUCCCGCCUCACCCACGUAACCCUCCAAACCGGGACAAAACACUACAUGGGCCCAAUCUUUGACCCGGCCCGGUCAACUCAACUCUUGAGCCAUGAUCCCCCGUUUCACGAGGACAUGCCCCGACUACCGUACCCAAACUUCUACUACGCUCAGGAGGAUCUCCUUGCGUCCCACGCGCCUUCUCUGACGUACUCCGUUCACCGCUCCUCCAUCAUAAUCGGCGCGUCUUCAAGGAGUGCAAUCAACGCGCUGGUUAAGCUUGGGGCUUAUGCCGCGGUUUGCCGCCACCUUAGGUUGCCGUUUCGUUACCCGGGAACACGGUACACGUGGGAGCAUUUUUGCGACAUGACAGACUCCGAGGUGUUAGCCCAGCAGCACGUGUGGGCAGCGGUUACGGACAAGGCCAAGAAUCAAGCGUUCAAUUGCACCAAUGGUGACUUGUUUACGUGGAAGAGAAUGUGGAAAGUGCUGAGUGAGUUGUUUGAUGUUGAGUUUGUUGGGUUUGGUGAGAAUGAUGAAGAUAGGGUUGAUGUGGUGGAGUUUAUGAGAGACAAAGACGAGAUUUGGGAUGAGAUUGUGGAAAAGUAUGGACUUGUCAAGACUAAGCUAAAGGAGUUUGCAUAUUAUGAAGCCUUGAAAGUAGUCUUACAUUUUGAUUUUCAACAUGUGUCUAGCAUGAAUAAGAGUAAGGAAUACGGUUUCUUUGGCCACGCCAACACCUUCAAAAGGGUCACAUUCUGGGUUCACAAACUGCGUUUCAUGAAGAUCAUACCCUAGCUAUAGUAAUAUAGAUAUAUCUUAUCAGUCUAUUGUUAUGGUGAAAAUAAAACGCAACAAGCUAGGGGAUUCCCUUUAUUCCAGCAAUUAAAUACAACUAUAUGUGAUGAACUUUAAUCAACUAUUGAAAGCAUGCCCAGUUGAUGUUAGAAACUUCUUAUUUUAUUUAUUUUUUAAAAAUUGUCCUCUCAUUAUAGAAUGGUGUCUAGCCCAGCCUUUUUGAGAGUUCAUAUAUCAUCAUCAAGAUAGGCCAAAGUUAGCUAACAUUAGCUACUCCUGGGAAGAAAACCAUAUUUGGCAAAUUGAUAAACUCAGUAACUAGAAGUUAAUUUUUUAGACAUUAUCGUAAUUAGUAUAUUAAUAAAUAAGAAUACUAAUGGUAUACUAAAAUCAAUAAAUUAAUACAUACACACACAUAUAUAUAUAUAUAUAUUAUUUUUAAUAUAUAUUUUAUAUUAAUAAUUAAUUUUAAUAACUAAUUUUAAUGGCAUUGUUUUUUAUAUUAAACUUGAAUAAACAUGUUUGUAUUAUAUUACAAUCUUAUUUAGUUGGAUGAAUAUAAGUUCAUACUUAUUGAAUUGAAUUCUUAGUAGAAAUAGACUGAAAUUUAUUCUUCUUUUUUUUCUCUAUUUGUUGGUUUUAUUCCUCUAAAAAAGUAAAACAAGAAUAUAUAUAAGAAAAUAAAAUAAGAAAGAGAAGAUGAAAAAAAGAAAAGAAAAAAGAAGACAAAGUAGAAGAUGAGAAGGAAGGGAAAGAAAAGUUUUGAAUUGUGUGCACCGAAUUUAAAUCGAUAAUGCACCGAAAUUCCUUAAUGAUGACGAUACACAAAUAAACUUAUCAGUUUAAAAUAAGCUCAGAAGACCAGAAUACACCGAAAUUAAACUCAGAAUACACCGAAAUUAAAUCCAUAAUGUUCCGAAAUUACGAUACACAAAUAAAUUUGGUUCAAAAUAAGCACAAAUCAAGUGCACCUUAUUUAAAUCCAAAAUGGACCAAAAUUACUUAAUGAUGACAACCAAGGUUGCGAAAACUAGUCCAAUAGUUCCAUCAGGGUCAAAUCGUAGUUGAAUUUGUUUAAUUAAAUAUACAAUAAAAUCAUUAAAAAUUUAAUAUACAAUUUUAAAUAUUUAAAUUCAAUUAUUUUUAAACUAAUAAAAUUUAAAAUUUUAUCGUGUCACAUAAUAAUUUGUUCAUAUUUUACCAUUAAAAAUUCACAAUAAAUUAUUUUUAAUUAAUGUAUAAGCUCUAAUCAAGUUUAACUGCUUGACAAUCAAGAUAAGCACUUCAAUAGAAUCAGAUGACAAUUGUUAUGAGCACAAGAAAGAAGAAAGUAAUUCUUGUUAUAUAAAAAAUAAAGAAAUGAAUUCAAAGACUUAGAAUUGAUACCAGAAUUAUUAAGAAUCAAUACACACUCAUAAUAUUAUUUUGAAUUAAAAACUAAAAUAGAGUAACUAACUAAUCAAUAAUCUAAUUGCUCUUCUUUUACUCUUCUUUGAACUGAAUCUUGUUCUAUUACAUUUGCAUUGUAUCUUCAAUAUUAAUCAAGUAUUCAACAAAAAACUCAAAAUUCAAAAAUUUUUUAACAUUCAAAGUCAGAGAAUCAAAAAAUAGAAAAACUAAACAAAAAUUCAAAUUUAGCACCUAAACUAAAUUUAGAAUUGCAUCAGCAAUAAUUCUAUUCAAAAUACAAAAUUAUUUUAAAAAAUCAGCAACUCAAAAUAGUAAAAUUAUUUUAGAAAAUUUAACAACACCAGCAAUCAUCAUCCAUCAAAAUUUAACAAAAUAAAUAAACAUGAACAAAAAUAGAAAAAUCAACAACUUAGAAUCAGUCAAAUUAACAAAAUAAAACCUCAACCAUCAAAAUUCAGAAUCCAAGAUUGAACUUAUGAAUUAUCACUAUUUCUAAAAAUUAUAUCAAAAUUCUAUUUAGUAUUAGAAAUUUAGAAUGAUUAAUUCAUAUAAUUAAAAAAAUAAAAAAAAUUAACUGAAAAACAAAAAUUGAAGAACUCACUUUAUUAAUUCAUAUAAUUAACAAAAUAAAAAAAUAAUUGAAAAACUGAAGAACUUACUGCGGCACAGAAAGCAAAGAAGGCCUAGAGUCCACAGCGACAGAGACAAAUUCUGGACAAGACAGAAGUGGCUGACGACAUAAGCUUCGAACCGACCUUCCUAUGACGACGACGACAAAAGCUUCGAGUGACGAGGGUGGCAACCGCUGGUGGUCACUGCCGGUGCCGAUAGUGGUAGGGAUGGUAGAGGCAUUCCUUCUGCUCAUUGGAGACUUGGAGAAAAUUAGGGGUGGAGCUAUGAAGGGAGAAGGAGAAGGAGAAGGAGAAGGAGAGCGAGGUGUUCCGCGUUUGUGAGGCUGGGUUUGGGAAUUGCGGGACUGGGUUAGUGACUUAGGGUUUCUUUUUUUUUUUGGAGUCAAAACGACGCCGUUUCUGAACUUGGAUUACAAAACCGGGCCUUUUAAAAUCUGGCCGAUUUUUUAAUCGGUUUUUUACAAGACGGUUCUAGGGUCAAGUAGACUGGUUAGAUGACCGGUUCUCGGUUAAUCUGGUCGAUCCGGUUCAAUUUUCAGAACCUUGAUAACGACUAACAAACUCAAUUCAAAAUAAGUACAAACCAAGUGCACCUUAUUUUUAUCUAGAAGGCAUCGAAAUUACUUAAUAAUAACGACGCACAAGCAAAUUCCUCCUCCUCCUCCUUCUUCAUCUUUUAUUUCUUGUUUUACCUUCUCAUAAUUUUUAUUGUUUUAUUCUCUUAACAAAAUUUAAAAAAUUAAAUAAAUAAGAAGAAGAAACACAUAAUGCUGCAAAAUCACUAGGAAGAGGAGGAGAAAAAGAAAAAAAUGCAGCAAUAAAAGAGAGACGAUGAGGAGAAAAUGCGCGAUAACGAUAAUAACAAUGAUGAUGGAGGAGAAGGAGGAGAAGGAGGAAAAGGAAGAAAACACACGAUGAUGAUGAUGAUGAUGAUGAUGAUUGAAGAAGAAAAUGAGGAAAAGAAAGGAGAAAAAAAAAUUUAAAUGAGAGGAAGAGGAAGAGAAAGAGGUGGUGGUAGUGGUGGUAAUUACGAUAACGAAAGAAAAAAUGACGAAGAAGGAGGAGGAUGAGAAGAACAUGCACAACAGGAGUGAAGAAGAAAAAGAAGAAGAAGAAGUGAUAGGAGUGAAGAACGUGCAAACAAAGAAAAGGAAGUUAUAUAUAAUCGCAUGUUAAGUCAAAAGAUUGUUAGAAAGAAUAGCGUAUGAAAGUAAAUUAGGUUAUUAUAUCAAUUUGAUUGAACUUAAUUGAUUAAAUUACUUGGAUAUAGAAUUUUAUUAUAAUAAACAAUGAUAAUUGGACAAUUUAAUUAGGAAUACAUUUUACGUACCUAUCUUUUAACCAAAAAUUAAGUAAAACGAAGUAGUUCAUCAUUAAUCUUCUAAUAUUAAAAAUGUUCUCCUUUUAAAAUGACAUAGUCAAUAAUGCUGAGGUGUGAUUGUGUGAAUGUUGUGUUAAAAAAGUAUUUUCUCAAACCAUGCUUUUAGGUAGUACCAUAAUGAGAUUAGAUUUUUUAAAUUUUUUUUUAGAUUCCUAUGAAAAUAAGUAAUCCUCUACUUUUACUUUUGUGCAACAGACAAAGAGCGGGCGGCUUAUAGUUGAAAAUAAGAGACUUUUUUAAGUGUCUCACAUAUACUAAUGCGAUUAGAAAAGAAAGACAAAAGGUUACUCGAAUAAGUAUUUUUAUACUAAAUUUCCUUUUUUUAAUCUUUAAUUUUACAUUUGGAAAAUUGUGUAUUCUUUUAAUUCUUUAUUUGACUGAAGACUUAAUUAAACAUUAUUAUAAAUCUGGAAUCACUUUAUGUAUAUUCAUUAAAAAACCUCACUCGUCCGUUAUUUGUUAUGAAUCUUUUAGAAUUAAGAAGAAGGAAGAAAAAGAAAGGAAGAAGAGGAAAGGAGGGACGGCGCCAAUAAAAUUUAGAAUCGCCGUCGUCGCUGGAAAUUAGAAUCAGAAAAAGAAUCACUGCGACUGCACUGAGCUCAGCUUCCUUACGACAACUUUCACUCUGUCAUUUGCGUCACCACUGUCCAACUCCUCAACGAGUGUUGCAUCGUCGUCGAAGUCAUUCUCAACCACACUCUUGUCCUCGUACGUUGCUGUCACCAUAACAAUGGCGUCGUCUUCUGUCAGGUCUUUUCCAUCACCAUCACAAUUGAUUAUUGUGUAUUUAAUAAUAUUAAAAUACAUAAAAAAAUAAAUUUUAAAAGAAUAUAUUUAAUUAAAAAUAUUGAGAGUUAGCAUUACAAAAUUAAUAUUACAUUAACAUAAAAAAAUUAAAACUCAAAUUAAAAAAAUAUUUAAAAGUUAAACUAAAAUUCAUUUUUAAACUUCGUUAUAGUUUUUUUUGACAACCUUUACUUGCUACAAUAUUACGUUCCUCAGACACUAACAUUACUUUUUAAUAAUGAGUAAUUAUCCAAAUCAGUGAAUCAAAUAUUUAAAAUUAAACAUUUUAAUUUUUUAAGUUUUAAAAUAUACAAAAUAGUUUUUAACAUUUAUUUUUGUUAGAGAAUAUAAUCUCCUUCUCUUAAUUAAUAAUGACGAUUACUGAUGUAAAACGUUAACUACACAUAGUUGCUAAGUGUCCACAUAUAUAAUCUGAACAAAUUAAUUUCUAGAAUAAAGUACAAAACAGUCUUCGAAAAAUUUUAAAAAAUCCCUAAAAUUUUUUUAAAAUAUCAAAANNNNNNNNNNNNNNNNNNNNNNNNNNNNNNNNNNNNNNNNNNNNNNNNNAUCUCAAAUUUGAUUAUUUAUACACAAAGUUUUUUUUAUAUAUUUUUAAAAUAAAUUAUAAAUUAAUUUUAAAAAACUCUAAUUUUCAAAAAAUAUAAAUAAUUUAAAAUAAAAAAAUCCAUAUAAUACUUUUGACUAUACAAAAUAGUAAUUUAAUUUUAUUUAAAAUUUAUAAAUACCAUAUUUUUUUUAUCAUUCUUUAAUGAUGAUAAAAAGAAUGAGCUGGUAUUAUUUGAAAAAAUAAAAAACUCUCAUUUAACAUAAAUUUUUCACAUAAACAACUUGAAAAUAUUUGUGCAAAUGCUUAUGAUAAAGACAACAUUUCAGAACUUGCAUGCAAUACGAACUAAGUCAUCUAUAAAGUUAAAUUUGUAAGUUUUAGUCAAUCACAAUAUCAAUGUGGAUGAUUUAUAAAUUUUUGAUGUGAAACUCCUAAUAUUUUGCAACACUUAAAAAAAAUAUCUUAGUAAAUCUAAGUGAUCUGUUUAUAUUUUUUAUUAGAAAGUUUUGAAAUUUAUUGGUUGUAAUAUUGCAUAAAAUAGACUUACAGUUAAAAUUGUUUGUGUUACUACAAUUAAUAAUUACACAAAGAAAAAAUAGAUUUUUUUGUAACACCCCAACUUUCGACACGUCAUGACCAAUGCCAAAUAUUCAAGUGCUACUCGUCAUAAGGACUUACUUAACUCUAGACUCAGAUUUCAUAAGAAAAUGUUAUUAUAAGCUUUUAUUGGUUUAAUUGUGAAUAAACUAUUAUUCGUGGAUUAGCAUUUAGUUGCUCGCAAGGUUAGUUUCUUUAAAGUUAUGAUAUAGGAAAACACAACGCAAUAGAAAAUAAUAUAUAUAAACAUAUAUACAAAUAUAUACAUGAGUUAAGUUUAAGGAAACGUGUCGUCUAUCAAAAGCCAAGUAUCAAACCAAGUUAUAUGUACAGAUAUAAAAGAAGAAGUCAGUCCCAACCCUCACACGGGUUUCCUAAACUAAAACCGAACGACUAAGACGUCCUAUCCCUCUAAAAGUACUACAAAAGUGAGAAAAAAAAUAAUACUAUUGAUCAUCAAAAGGAGUAAAAAGUCAACUAGCUCAAGCUCCGGAAUGGCCUUCAGCUAGAGUGAAUACGUAUGACAUGCCGGGGUCGAAACGUGGGCAAUGAACCGAAACUCGAAAUUCAACGGACUCCUCUGCCGAACCCAUCUGGGGAGGGGGAGAAAGAAAGAGAAAAAAGGUGAGAACCUAGAGUUCUCAGCAAGGUAAAAGGGAAACCUAGGGUCUUUAUCUCUAAGUUGUCGCGAAGCAGAAAAAAAGAACAAGCACAGAGACUCAAGGCACAAAUAUACAUAUAACAAGUAAAUAGCAUGAACAAGAAGGAAAUAGCAGUAAAUAAGUCACAAGAAAUACAUAUGCGCAAACAAGAUGAUGCAUGCCUGUUCCUAGCGCAAGCCAUGAGCUCAUGCGUCGGUUGUCUACCCGCAACCCGACGUUACUCGGAGUGAACCCCGAAUAUGGUCCCUUUAGUGUGUCAAUUAGACACCUUGACAUUACGAUUACCCGUGUCAAUUAGGUCUCAUUAUAAUAACAUUUUAAUGUGUAUCACAAUAAGGAACAGUGCUAUCAGUUAAGCGAACAUUCUCGCAUUAGCAAUCUCAGGCUAUCAGUUAGACUUAGGCGGGCACUUCAACAUUAGCAAAUUAGUACAAGGCCCAUUCAACAUACAUUAUACUAUCUGUUAGGCAGACAUUCUUGCAUUAGCACUUUGGCGCAAAGGCCCAUUCAAACAAACAGUUCUCAUGAAUCAUUAUCCAUUCAUGGUUUCAUUUUCUUUCUUUUCAUCAUGCUUUCACAUCACCUUAUAAAUACGCAUACCUCCGCAUUACCAUAUUACUAAGGAUACCUUCACAUCACCAUGUUACUAAGUAUACCUCCGCAUCACCUUUUAACUUGAAACCUUCCCAGGGGCAACUUACAUCUUUAUUCAUUUCCUAGGCUUGUUUAGUCUAAAACCUUCUUGGCGACCAAUUUUCUAUCUAACAAUUAAUGUAACAAACGGACUCGAAUUUGUGCAAACUUUAUGUCCACGUGUUUGUAUUGAACUCAAGUUUCUAAAGGUUUAGAAAUCAUAUUUUUUUGGGUAGUUUGACACUAGAUAUUGAAGAAAACCCGGGACUACUAUCCUUAGAUUUUUGGGGCAGCACCUUGCUAUUUUGCUAAGUAGUUCUUCUGUUGUGAAUACUUAUGCACGACCUAUUUCUCUUGGUAAGGUAACUCUAGAGGUCCUAAUCUUUAAUUUGAGUUAAGUUUUUCUGAAUUUGUAUUAGAAUUGAAUUUUGUACAAUUUUUAGAAUUCUGCUACUGCAUUUAAAAGAUUCAAAAAAGAGCAGACAUCAGCAGUGUUUUUAUAAAUUCCACAAUAAUUUUAAUUCUAAUCUGUUGUUUCUAAAUUUUGAUGAGAUUAAAAUAGUUCCCCUUAAGUUUAAGAAUUCACAAGUUUCAGGGUUCAUAUCACUUCAUUUGAUUAAUUAAUUAGCAAUUGGAAGUGAUGUCCUGUUUUAUAAAUCAGUUCAGAGUUUCCAGCAAACAACCCAUCUUUCAAAUGACUUAUUUAAAUCUACAAAAUAGAUAUGGACAUGAAGCUUAUAUUAGCUUAAAAUAGACUGAUAGAUCCUUAAAACCCUUUCAGAAGCAACUCAAAAUUCUAUUUAAAUAAAAAGUUACAGCGUCUGGUAGUUGGUACUACAGAACCAAAAAACCAGAAAAUUCUGCAGCAACCACUAAACUUCAAAAAUUUAUAUCUUCCAAACCACUUGGCCAAAUUCUCUGAAAUUUUUAUGGAAUAUUCAAGACACACUAGAUUUUUACAAAAAAAUAAUUUUAUCUAAAAAUUUGGUCUGAAAUGCUCCUAGAAAGUCAUUCAUUCUACUGCUAAUUAUGCAGAGAUUGCAGAAAUUUCUGCACAAUGUAAUUCCAACAACCUCACAUACCAAAUCUUAUAUUCAAGCCUAGAAUUCAUCUAAAACAAUAAUUUUACCUUUCUUUUGACUAGUUAAAGUUACUAGAAUGGUCAGCAUAGCUUCAAGAGCUUAUACUCAUUAAUUUACCCUUUUUUACAAAUGCACAUUCAUAACUCAACAUUCACUUUUCUGCAUUUUAUCAUAACAGAAAUUUAAUAUGCAUUUCUCAUCAAUCAAAUACAUGAUAAACCAUCAAUCAUCACAAGUACACACAGUUGCAAACAAGAUAUUCUAUAUAUACUAUCCCUUACCUUAUUUGUUGAUCAAACACAAAGCUUGCUUCUACUACUCUUUUGCUGCCGAACCUUAAUUCGCAACAAGAACCAACAUUCUCUAUUAUACCCACAAGGCCAUUCGACCAGAACAAACAUAAGCAAGGGAAAUUACUUACCCUUCCUCGUUUGUGAUGAUGGUUGUUCGUAAAUCGGACAAACUAGAGGAAUAGAGCAAAGAGUUUACCAGAGAUUUGAAUUAGGGAAGUAAGGAAAGAAGGUGAAGUUGUUGGUUCUUACUGUACAGAGAGGCUCGAGAAAUUAUCUGGGUGAGUGGGAUGAAACUCCUGCUUCAGCUUUGGCUGUCCUCCUUCUUGCUCUCUUUUCUUUUUCCGCCGCUGGUCCUUCCUUUCUUCUGCGUGAUGUGUGUUUUGGGGAGAAGAGAAAUUGAAGCUGCUUACCUUUGUUUUAUAAAGAUAGAGGAAUGGACUGAGCUGUUGAUGAAGGCUUUGUGUCUUUCUCUCCUUUCAACAUAGUAGCAACGUGCAUAUGAGGAAGUGAAACCAUAGUUUAUAGCUGAGUUCCAAGUGGUGCUGAGAGAAGAGUUAAUUAGGGUUGGUUUAUUUGGGUGGAAGGUGGUUUGAUUGGACCAAAAGAAAAGAAACCAAUUGGGUUCAAGGUUUGACUUAUCAAAAUAAUAUGAUUCAAUGAUUCAUUCAUUAGUUCUUUUCAAGAACAACCAAAGAGAUUAUUAAAAUCUUCUAGGAGUAAUUAUUCCACAGAAUAAUUGAAUUGGAAAGAUUCGUCACUUGGAAGUACUAAAAGAAAAGUUUUGCGUUACGUAUUCUAUUUAUAAUUCGUUAUCUAUGCUAUAUAUUUAUAUAUUUAAACCUAUGCGCGUCAGCGAAUGUUGUAUAGAAUCAGAAAUCACAGGCCUCAUGGGGUAGAGUUGUUACAUUUUUCACUUAGGAAUAAUUUUUCUAAGUUUAUUUGAUGUCAAUGUCUUAAAAGUUUAGGUAUAUAAAUAAUAGCCUUUAUAAUGCAAUGACAUCUUAGUAUAGAAUAAUAUUUUACUAUUUUGACUAAUAGAAAAUAAUAAUGACAUGAAGUUUUGAAAAAGAUUAAAACUAUUCAAAGGGUGGUUUUAUAAUUUUAAAAUUUUUCAGGAAUUGUUUUGAGAUUUUUUAAAUUAUUCGAGAACUGCUACUCACACACGUGGAUACUUAAUAGCUACAUGUACGACUUAAUAUUUCAUACUAGCAAUCACUGUUAGUAACUAAUAAAGGAAGACGGUAUUAUUUAACAGAAGUAAACGUUAAGAAUUGUUUUAUGUAUAUUAAAAAUAAAAAAAAAUUAGACUAAUUUAAAUAAUGAUAAUACUAGAGAGAUAAAAAAAUAGUCAAAAUUUAUCUUAACAAUUAAUAAAUACUAAAUAAAACAAAUUCGUUCUGACGGUUUUUAACUAAUUUAUUUUAGUUAUCAAAUAUUUUCAAAUUUCUCAUUAAUAAAAUACAAAAAAAAAAAAAAUCUUUUUGUCCUAAUCCUAAUGGCAUCACACUCCUUUGCAAAAUUUGAUACCGUGAAAAGUUAAGACAUAAGGGGCCUCAAAAAAGUUUACAAAGGUAUGUUGUGGCAAUAACUAAAAUAAAAAAAUGACAGUUCACUUCAUAACAAAUUCAGAUGUUCACUUUACGAUGUCAUUCUAUCUCGAUCUCUAAUUGCUCUAAACGAUUUUGAUGAUCAUGAACCAAUUCGAUGAUUUUCGUUGCCUAUUUACUUCCUGAUCUUUUAAGAAUGUGGAUAUAAGAACCUAACCUUCGUCCUCUUAAGUCGUUUCUACCUCCAUCACUAGCAAGACCCUUAUCCCUUUCUAAAUGUUGGGGUAUAUAAAGUGUUCGAUCAUUUUUUUGGGAACUCUCAACUUCGAGAUUCUGAAUUAGAUGCAGUUCGUCUGUCAUCUGGAUGAGCUUCAGCCAUGGUUUAGCAAAGACUUUUCGGGUCUCUGAUAAUGAUGUCAACACCUAAAAUUGAUGAUUUAAAUUUGAACGUGAAGUCCAAACUCCUUUCUGAUGAGAGAUUUAACAUCUUUCUCAACAGGAUAAAGCCAUCUGAGUUCUUUGAGUGAGAAUGAGGGAAGUGGUACCUACAAGUGACUCUGAUAUUUAAGCUAGUAAGAAUUUGAGACAAAUUUUUAUGAAGUUGGAUGUUCAAAAUACGUGUAGCAAUGAGGUAUCUAUAUAGUGGAAGUGAGAACUUGACCAUCACCAUGUAACUUUUCUACCAAUAAUGAUAGAUAAUUACUUCUUACUGUUUAGAGGGAGCUAUUAUCCCAUAUUUUAAAUGGUAUGCGAGAUUAUAUGCAUAUUGGGAUCCACUUUUCACACAUGUUGGGCAGCUGAAAAAAGAUCUUUUUAGAUCUUGAUAGACUGAUCCUAUUCAUUUGAGCUUGAUCUUAAUUUUGCCUCGAUAUGAACAAGACUCACCUUAUAUUUANNNNNUUUGCUUUUUGUAAUCACGUUUAUUCAAUUUUGAUGAAUGAAAUUUUAUUGCAUAUUUUAAAAAAUUUGAGUGUGAAUAAAAGAAAUAGAGUAAUUUUCUUAACUUUGUACUCUAAGUCUAGGCUUCUUAAGAGUCUUUAGCAUGACUAAAAAAAGAGCUAAGUACAGAUUUACCAGUUUUUCAAUUCGAACCAUAAUUAUAAGAAUCGGACUGAAUUGGUCGAUUUGACUGGAUCAAACUUUCAACCGAACCGAACGGUUCAAUAAAAAAUUUUAAAAUUAAUAAAGAAAUAGUUCGAACCUAACUCUUUUUUUUUGCUUGCAUGCUCUCUUUACCACUAAGUUUUGUUGUUUUUUUUUUUUUACCAAAGAUAGGAAGACUCAAACCCGCGACCUCUUAGGUGAGUAUGGAGAGACUAUGUCAUUUGAGCUAUAGCUCGUUAGUUUGCGUAUUUGAUUAUCCUGUUAACUACUAAUUGUAUUACUCAUUCUAAAUGUUCUUAUUUUUGAUUGUUUGGUAUAAUUGCUUGUGUGUAUUUGAAUUCCAUUGAAAGAAUAGAUAUUUAAAUUAAUAAUGAUGAUUGUUAGGAAUGGAUGAGGCUAGUGGUAGUUUAAAAUACUCUUGCCUUUGCAACUUUACCCUGCAUGGAUUAGUUAAGACCCUAGACUUGGAUUCUUGUGAAGUUGGAGAUCAGAAUUGCCUAGAGGGUUCAUAUUUCCUUAUGUAGUCUUUAUUCAGAACUGUUACCCUACUGGGAACCUUUGGGUUCUCAGCCAUUGUUAUUAUUCUAUUUUUUUAGAUACAGAAAGCAAUGCACCUCGGUGAGAGAGUGCGAAAUUCAAGUGGUGAAAAAAAGAGGAUUGCUUUUGGGGAUUUUAUUUUGACUUUAGAAUUCUCUCCCUUUUGAAAGUAUACGGUAUAUGACUUUAAUUUUCUCUUAGAGGCUUUUAUGGAGAGAUAGGUGUAUAUUUUGUAUUCUAUCUAAUGAUUAAAAAUCCUAGCUAGCCUUUUCUUUGCAGGUUGAGACUAGUGACUAUUAUGUAUAUAUCUUAUUAUGUAUCUACUUAUCGAGUCUUGGGAUUUUUUUUGCUUUUGUAUACGACGCUUAUCGCUUUAACACGUCCAUGUGUGUUUAAUGAUUUUUGAUGUUUAAUUUUCUUCACGGGCUCCUAGUUUUAAUACUAUCCUUCUAUAAUUUUAUAUGUAACUCCAAGUCUAAGUGUAGUAAUGCCUCGCCAUCAUUGAGUUACGACUUAAGCGUAAAGCUCUGUGUGGUAGGGUGUUACACUUCUAACUAUUAAAGAUGAAGAACGAAACUCAAUCUGAUCUAUUAAAAAAUAUUAAUAAAUAUUAUAAUCUUAGAAAGAAAAAUUAUUUGCUGUAAUAAUUUAAUGGAAAGUAUUUGUAUCUUUUUCUUAUAACUUUAAAGAUUUUCAAUGUACAAUUGAGAAGGAGAGAGUGUAUUUUUUUUGGUGACUGAACAUAACACAAAGAAAAAAGACCUAAGAAAAAGAGUAGUAUUUCUCUUUAAUAAUAAUGUCUAAAUUAUUAGGAGGCAGUAACCACUCUAGAUACACCUGCUUGUUUAAAACAGCAGUCUUAGCCAUUAAAUUAGCCGCUCUGUUUGCUGUUCGCUGGAUGAGCACUAAAGUAGCUGUCCAAUUGCGCUAGAGCAUCUCUUUGAUUUUGUCAAGCAGAUCAGAGUCAUUCCUAAUCAUGCUGGUUGUGCCUCGCGAAACAAGAAGAAACGCAUCAAGAUUAUCAGUUUCACAUAUGACUUCUUUGCACUCGCAAUCCCAAGCCAUAACAAAUCCUCUCCAAAUAGCAUGAAGCUCACAACAGAGAACACUAGAAAGAGGUAUACUGGCAGAACAACCUUUUAUCCAAAUUCCCAUGCUGUCUCUAAUAAUACAUCCAAAGUCAGCUAAUUGCUCAUUUUCAAAAACGCUUGCAUCGCAGUUCACUUUACAGACAUUCAUUGGAGGUGGUUCCCAGUUAUAUUUCAAAGAAGAAGGAAUAAUAUAUUUUUGGUUGAUAACAACAUUAGAGAAAUCUCGAGCAGCAUGUUUAACUAAGUGAACAAUUUUCUCCUUACUCCAUGGAUCAUCUUGGUGGAAGAUGUCAUUUUUCCUAUCCCUCCAAAUCCACCAAAAGGCCGCUGCAAAGAGAAACUCAUUUUUGUUGAGGUUAGAACGAAUCCAAGACACAAAAUCCAAACUAGAGUCCUUAGCGGUCAUUCCCAAAUUUAAGCUAAUCCAAAUCUGACGAGCUUUUUGGCAAGUCCUAAAGUAGUGGUUAAUAUCCUCUAGAGCAAGAUAACAUCUCUGACAAAAAUCAGAAGUAGAAAUACCUCUUUGAAACUGGUAACUAGCUGUGGGAACUCCGUUGUUGAGGCAAAGGCAGAGCAGACACUUUAUCUUCUCCGGUAUUCUCAAGCGCCAAAGCCAAAGCCAAUUUUCAUUAUCAUUCUAGCCAAAUUUCUUCUUCAAUAGCCAUUCAUACCCGCUUUUAGUCGAGUAGGUGAAAGUAUUUGAGUUUGUCCAAAACCAACCUGUUUUAUUUCCUGCCUGCUUGAUAGGAUCAAAGAGCAUCAAAGCAAGUUUAACUUCUUCCGAAAUCAUUGUGCAAAGAAUAUCCCACCACCAAUGCCGAUGGUGCCAGACAUCUUCUAACUUCAAGUGAGAAUCAGAAAUGUGUACAAAAAGAACCAAAGGAGCUAGCGUUCCACAUGGUCGCCAAGCAUGAUACCAAAAGGAUUGAGACAUCCUGCCUGUACACCAAUCAAAACCAUCACGAAGCUUUUCUAUUGUCUUAUAAAUCGCUCGCCAAGUGCUUGAAACAUUAUUAGAAAAAUUGGGUGAAAAGCAAGAACUCCCAGAUAAAUAUUUUGCCAACAUAAUUCUUACCCAAAGCUUAUCUUUAUUAUGCAAUAAUUGCUAAACAAGCUUUCCGAGUAAAGCAAAAUUUACACAUUGAGUAUCUCUAAUUCCCAAGCCUCCAUAUUUUCUUGGAGUGACAACUUUGCUCCACUUGACUAAAUUUAAGCAACGCUCCCCCGCCUUUCCCUUCCACAAGAAUUGUCUAAGCACGGAAUCAAUCUUUUGACAAACCGAAGUAGGAAAAAGAGUCACUUGCAUCUGAUAAAUAGGAAGAGAAGAAGCAACAGAUUUAAUUAAGCAAAGUCUGCCUGCUCUGUUAAGGAGCCGACCUUUCCAACUAGCCAGUCUAUUCUUGAUCUUCUCUAAAGAGUCCGAAAAAUAGAUCUAGCAGCUCGAGGAUGAUUAAGGUUCACCCCCAAGUAUUUGCCUAGGUCACUAGUAAAAGAAAUAUGAGAAACACCAGACAACAUAUCCUUCCUUCUAUUAGAGAUAUUUCUAGAACAAAUAGCUUUAGAUUUUUCAAUGUUAACCUUCAUACCUGAAGCUUUACAGAACAACUCCAAGAUGUGCACAACAUUCUAAACUUGACUUUUCUUCGCUUUACAAAAAAGGAGGAGGUCAUCUGCAAACAUCAAGUGAGAAACUCUAGGUCCCCCUCUAGAAACACCCAUACCAUCCCAAAUACCCUCGUCAACUUGUUUGGAAAUGAAGCACGCCAAUCUCUCCAUGCACAAAACAAAUAAAUACGGAGAAAUUGGAUCUUCUUGCCUGAGCCCUCUGCGAGGUUGGAAGCUGUCCAAUCUAUUCCCAUUCCAAAUGAUGGAAAGAUUUGAGGCCUGAACACAAUUCAUUACAAGCCGAAUAAUUAGAGAAGGAAAGCCAAAAGAUUCAAGAGUAUGCUCAAGAAAAUUCCAAUCAACUCUAUCAUAAGCCUUUUCUAAAUCAAUCUUAAAAGCCAUAACUCCUUUUCUAGACUUUGUCCGCUUAAGAAAGUGAAGAACUUCUUGGGCGACAAUAAUAUUAUCAAGUGCUCCUCUACCAUGAAUAAACCCUCCCUGAGUUGGGCUAACAAUCUCAUCCAAAAAUGGUCGUAAUCUAUUAACCAGCACUUUAGUCACUAGCUUAUAAAUUACAUUACAAAGGCUUAUUGGCCGAAAAUCCUUCAAUCUAGUUGGAGGGUCGCACUUAGGGAUAAGAACAAUCAAAGUUUCCAACAAAGAAUGGCUUAACAUCUCCCCUAAGAAUGCUUUCUGAACAGUACGCCAUAUCUCAUGACCCACCACAUCCCAAUAUUCCUUGAAGAAAAAAACUUGAAAACCAUCCGACUCAGGAGCUUUGAACGAGCUCAUAUUAUCCAGAGCUUCUUUAACCUCCAACAUUGUUACUGGUUUAGACAAAUUAUCACAAGCAUCCUGGCUAAGAGAUGGCAUAGGAAUUUCUCCCGUGCAAUUAACCUCAAUAGGCUCAGUAGAACAAAAAAUAUUUUUGAAGAAAUGAACAACCUCCCUUUUGCAAAACUUCCGGAUCAUCAGACCAAGACCCAUCACUGACUAGCAACCCAUGAACCUUGUUAGAUUUUCUUCUAAGGAUGGUUUGCAUAUGAAAAAAGUUAGUAUUUCUAUCACCAUACCGAACUCAUUGAUCUCUUGACUUUUGGUACCAAAGCAAUUCUUCCUGGGCCAAAACUAUAUUAUACUCAGCUCUCAAUUCUUCCUCUUUGUGCUUCAGAAUUGGAUCAUCGUCAGCUUCCAUUUUCCGUUGAAUACGAUUCAAAUACCCUCCAAUUCCCUCUUUUUAAUAAAAAUAUUGGCGAAGACCGUAGAGUUGAAUUCCAACGAAACUUCUUGGACCCCCAGCAACUUCCUAUGGAUGCCAAAGUCUGUACUAUCCCAAGAUUUCUGAACAAUGGCCUUGUAAUCAGGAUGCGUUGCCCAUGCCGCUUGAAAUCUAAAAGGCCGGUUUUCUUUCUUGAUAAGAACUCCUUGACAUCGGAUAAGCAGGGGACAAUGAUCAGAGUGGGAACGGCUGAGAACUUCAACAAAAGCUUCUGAAAAAAGAAGGCGCCAUUCUGUAGUACAACAAGCUCUAUCCAAUCUCUUUGCAAUUUCUUUGUUUCCUUGAAUUUUACGAAACCAAGUAAACCGUCUUCCAGAGGUUGUUAGAUCAAAAAGACCACAAGAAUCUAGAGUACUUGCAAAGAUACUACUGCGAUUUGAAUAGAAAUUACCCCCUUCACCUGAUGAACACUCAAAAUAUCAUUAAAAUCCCCAACCACCACCCACGGGUCCUGAAUGCACAAACAAUAUCAAGCAGAUGACUCCAUAAUUCUACUCUAUUAGUGGCUUGAGGACUGCCAUAAACCGCACUGCAGAUCCAUCUUCGCCCACCACCAUCAAUUUCCAAAGUUACAUAUUGAUUCAUAACCCAAAUAAUUUUACAAGAAAAUUUUAAAUUAGCAGAGAGGAACCAAAUUCCUCCCUUGUGUCCAACAGCAUCUACAAUCCCUACAGGAUAAUAGCCUAAUCUCCCCCAAAAUUCUUUCAUAGUUUCAAACUCAAUAUGAGUUUCCACCAAAAUAAAAAAAGUUGGUUGAAAUUUUCGUACCAACUCCUUACAGUGCACCCGAGACAUCUUAUUUGAUGCCCCCGUAACAUUCCAACUAAUAAUAUUUAAAUGGUCACAAUCCAUAAAAAUUAAAUUAAAUAAUUAGAAUGUUUAAUUAUUCUACCUCACGUUGAUGGACCCCUGUCUCCAAGUGUCUCCUUGUGGACUUGCAUCGCAGAACCAUCAUUCUUCUGUUGAGGUUGGGUCUCCAAGUUUGUUGUUGCACUAACUUUAUCAAGCUCUUUUUGUACUCGAGAAUCCAUUGACAAUGCUUCAGUCGGUGAGUUUUGAAGCGAAAUAGGACGUUGCCUUUUGUGCCCUGCUUUAAAAGAGGGAGUACUCUGAUCCAUGAAAGCCACCUGAGUUGUUCCCAAAGAGUCAAGCGUGGAUGGAAGAUCUUUCUUUUCCUUAGGCCCCACCUUUGCAUUUGAUAAGGACUUCACCUUUCCAUUUGAUGAGGAUCCAGUAUGCAUGCUAUUAGACCCAAAAGAAAAUUUCUUACUCACCAAAUUGGAGCAUAUUACUACAUUGACUUUUUUGGCACCACAUUGUGGCCUUUACCCACUUUUUCCUUGCCUUUUCUACUAACUGUAACACAUUCACCCUCUUUUUGCACGAGUAUCCCUUUCCAUACGUGAGUCUUGCAAAUUAUCAUGCAUAAGAUCUGCUGCACCAUGCUUCUCCAUAAUUGGAAUUGAUUUGGCAUUAAUUCCAAAUUCAAAAGUUAAAUUUUGAUUUUUUACUGGGAUUUGACUACCUUCUACCGUUUUCUCGUUGUUAUCUACAGAAAAAAGUGACGACAAAUUUUUCUCCUUCACCGUGCUUUCCUUCCCAAUGCCAUUGUUGUUCUCUUUCGCACAUUCUCUUGUGACAUGCCCAAAGCAGCUACAUUUUUCACAAAUUAAAUUCAAGUGCUCAUAUUCUAUGUCAUACAUAUGACCAUCAAUUUGAAUUUUUUUUAUAACUGGAAGUUCCAAGUUAAUUUGCACACAUGCUCUUGCAUACUUUCCCCUCUCUGUAGACUUGGUGGCUAAGUCGAUGCGGAUCGGUUUGUCAACAGCUGACGCAAUCAUUUUCAUGCUCUCUCUUGAUAAUAGUUAAUGUUUAAACCUGUUAUUCUUAUCCAAACCAUGGUAGACCCAAAAGUGUUUUCACAAGGUCUGAAUGAAGAACUCCAAGGUUUAACCGCAACAUAGCUUCCGGUAAUCAUCCACGGUCCUCCAAGGAGAACUUUCUCUCUAUCCUCCAAGAGAUCAAAUUUGACUAAGAAAUAGCCAAAACCGACAUCUAGUACCUCAUAUCCUCCUUUGGUUCUCCAGACGCCUUUAAGCCUGUGCGUGAUCGCUGUAUAGCUAAAAUUUUUUCCAAGAAUUUUGAUCACGAUGGCAUCUUUGUAGGACUCUGCCAAUAUCUCUUUUCCUUCCUUAGUGAACGUCACAAUUGGUAUUUCCAAAUCGUCUUGCUUACUAACUACUGUAGCCAUCUUAUCCCCAUCAAGAAAAUCAGCAACCUCCAAAGCUCUCCUUGCUGAGGCACCAACAACUUUAUUUUGUCCAGAAGACAAAAUUAAAUACUAAAGUUUUUUUUAAAUUAUGAAGAGAGAGUGUAUAUAUAUAGAGAGAGUAAUUUCAGCAUAUCAGAUUCAGAUAUACUAAUACUAGUAAACAAUUAAACAUCAAUAAUUCACUUCCUUUGUAUUCAUGGAGAACCAAGAUUAUGUAGCGCUUAUCGUUGGAGUCACAGGUAUGGUUGGGUUUAACAUAGCCCAAUCCUUGAAGAAGCCCGACUGCAAGGGAGGCGCAUGGAAGGUUUACGGAGCAGCCCGCCGUCCCCCGCCCGCCACCUGGUUUCCUGCUUCCAUCGUGGAUGAUUUCAUCAGCUUCGACGCCGUCGAUGCCGCCAACACACAAGCCAGCCUCUCCCCCAUAGCCCACGAGGUCACACACCUCUUCUGGGUGGCUCUUCAGUUUCAGGAAGACGAAGAAGCCAACAUUGCCACCAACAAAGCCAUGCUCCACAACGUUCUCACCACACUCAAAUCUUCCCCUUCUUCCCGCCUCACCCACGUAACCCUCCAAACCGGGACAAAACACUACAUGGGCCCAAUUUUUGACCCGGCCCGGUCAACUCAACUCUUGAGCCAUGAUCCCCCGUUUCACGAGGACAUGCCCCGACUACCGUACCCAAACUUCUACUACGCUCAGGAGGAUCUCCUUGCGUCCCACGCGCCUUCUCUGACGUACUCCGUUCACCGAUCCUCCAUCAUA